CCCGUCUCGGCCUCCCGAAGUGCUAGGAUUACAGGCGUGAGCCACACGCCCGGCCUAAAAUUUUCUUUACAAUUCAGAGCAGAGAUGCCCUCUGGGCAAAAAUCAAGUUUUAUUGAAACAGUAAUUAUUACAAGGAAAUUAAAGACUUCAUUUCUACAAAACCAUAAAUAGCUGGUAGUCACUAUCAGCAGUUUCCAAGGCAUCUAUCAGACAAAUAUCUAACACUUGUCAACUUUUUCUAAAGUAUUCUUAAAUUUCAUUUUGACAUUUCCCAGAUAUUGGAUAUUGUUAAUACGUGAAACCAAAAUAUCUACGUACCAAUGUUUCCAACCUUUAUAAAACAUACUUUCUUCAUUUUACAUUUAGAUAAAAAGACUUUAAGAGAGAUGAAGUAAAUUGCCCAAGUCAAAGUGACAGAACUGGAAAUCUGACCGCCAGUCUAUCUGCAAUCCAUGGUUUCCUAUCACUAUGUAAUACUGCCUUGACUCAAAAGAUGCAAUGAGAAAAUAUUUACUAACAAAACAACAAUAAAAAGAAUCCAAUUUUUUAGUGUUAUGGUAUUCAGGUUUAAUUAAAAGUCUUCAACUGCCAGUGGAUCAUGUCUGUAAACAUAGCACUUUGGGAGGGCCAAGGCAGGCAGACUGCUGGAGUUCAAGACCAGCCUGGGCAACAUGGAGAAACCCUGUCUCUACUACAAAUACAAAAAUUAGCUGGGCGUGGGGCAUGUGCCUAUACUCCCAGCUGGGGGAGCUGAGGGAGGAGGAUAGCUUGAACCCAGGAGGUCGAGGCUGCAGUGAACAUGCACUGAGAUGGCACAACUGCCUUCUAGCUUGAGUGACAAAGUGAGACCCUCUUUCAAGAAGAAAAGAAAAAAAAACCUUCAACUACCAUAAAAAGUCAAUUCUAUUAUAGGUGAUUCAAAUAGUUUUCCACUGUAACAAAAUGGUGCUAUUAGUUAUCUACCUUUUUAUGAAAUGUUCAUAAAAGCAUCUUGAGGUCAAGUCAUUAGAAACAGAUAUACAGGCCGGGUGCAGUGGCUAAUGCCUAUAAUCCCAGCACUUUGGGAGGCCAAGGUGGGUGGAUCAUUUGAGGUCAGGAGUUCAGGACCAGCCUGACCAACAUGGUGAAACCCCGUCUCUACUAAAAAUACAAAAUUGGCCAGGCAUGGUGGUGCACGCCUGUAAUCCCAGCUACUUGGGAGGCUGAGGCAGGAGAAUGGCUUGAAUCCGGGAGGCAGAGGUUGCAGUGAGCCCACAUUGGGCCACUGCACCCCAGCCUGGGCAACAAGAGCAAAAUUCCACUUCCAAAAAAAAGAAAAAAGAAAGAUACACAAUAGAAGGACACUCCACACACAUUUAAGGCAGCAGGAAGUGAGGAGUCUAAUAGGAAUACUGCCAUUUUUAUAAGUCUGAGAACCAUUGUUCCAAAAUAAAUUAAUGGAGAAGUCUAUUAGAUUCACAACAGGACUUACUCAUUCUACAUUAGAAAAAAAAGUACAAAUACUAAAACUGAACAAAUAAAGGCAUUUUCUUCUCCUGUAUUAAAGUAACCCAAGAAAACAUACUCAAGGCAUAAUCAUUCCUAAAACAGACUGGCACAAAACUUGUACCACGAGAGAAUACAUCUUAUAACAGUUAUUUUUUUUCUUUUUUUGAGACAGAUUCUCGCUCUGUGGCCCAGGUUGAAGUGCAGUGAUGUGAUCCCAGCUCACCACAACCUCCGCCUCCCAGAUUCUCCUGACUCAGCCUCCAGAGUAGCUGGGAUUACAGGCAUGCACCACGAUGCCCAGUUCCGCCACGUUGGCCUGGCUGGUUUCGAACUCCUGACCUCAAGUGAUCUGCCCGCCUGGGCCUCCCAAAGUGCUGGGAUUACAGGUGAGAGCCACCACACCGGCCUCUUAGAUUUCUUAGAACUCUUAAGAGUUCUUAGAUUCCACAGGGUUACAUUUUUAAAAAUUUUUUGGCUGCUGGAAAAGCUAUGAUAGCCAAUCAAAUCAAAUUUUUGGUGGCACAAUUUUAACUAUGAAACAGCAAGAAAGAGAUUAUUGCUUAGGAUGUUUUCUAAAAGCUUUUUUCCUCAGAAAAAUCCCAGGCACAGUGGCUCACAUCUGUAAUCCCAGCACUUUAGGAUCCCAGGCAGGUGGAUCACUUGAGGUCAGGAGUUUGAGACCAGUCCGGCCAACAUGGUGAAGUCCUAUCUCUACUAAAAAAAAGAAAAAAAAAAUCAGCUGGGCAUGGUAGCAUAUGCCUGUAAUCCCAGCUGAGACAGGAGAUUCGCUUGAAUCCAGGAGGCAGAGGUUGCAGUGAGCCGAGAUCAUGCCACUGCACUGCACUCCAGCCUGGGCCACAGAGUAAGGCUGUGUCUCAAAAAAAAAAAAAAGAAAGAAAGAAAGAAAGAAAGAAAAGCAUAAAGUUCCUAAAUAAAGGCUCUUCUCAUCAUUUUUAACAGAUAUAACUUUAUCUCCUUACCUAACUCUGGAUAAGACCUACCUGUAUCAUUUAAUAUGCUAACAGGUUAAACAAAGGUUUGUAUCCUUGGGCCCAUUAGUCACAACUUUUCAGAUUUCAAUUAAAGAUGAGCAAUCUGAAAUAGCAAAAAAUCCAAUCUCCAAACUGAGCUGAACCAAAGCUAACAAGAAUAAUUCUUCCUAAGAUUACUAGUAUGUAGCGACUCAGAUACUGGAAAUCACCAAACAAUGAAAAAACGGCUUAGAAGCCACUGUGCUCCCGCCCGCAAGUUUUAAUAACAAAAAAAAAAAAAAAAAAGAAAAGAAAAUCUUGUUUAACUACAUAAAGUUUUUCUCAUGACAACCUUGUGAUAUGUAUGAAGUAUGCUGGAAAGAAAUUUUCUUUUUAAAUAGUAGAUAUUUAAGAAAAAUGUAAACAUUAUAGAAUAAAUUUAAGAAAUUAAAGGAUUCCUAGCGCUUUAUUUAGGGCUGCUUAUACUAACCCUACUUCCAAAAGACUCAGCAAAACUUGAGUCCUGAUACAUCUAGCUUUUCAAUUAGAAACAAAUUACUCAACACAUUUGGCCUUCUCUUGCGCCCUCUUCUGGAUUAAAAAAAACUGUUCCUCUUUAGGUUUGUGAGCAAUGGAUUACCAAAGCCUACCUCAACAUGUUACAGAUAAAUUUCAAAAAUAUUGUAAUGUUUUCUUAGUUAUUAGCAUUAUGCAUGUCAAAGCAACAGUACUGUGACCAAAUCAUACACUCGCCCCAAACUGUUUACAUUCUGUCAAAACUGCUAAUUCCAGUUUCCUCCUCUUUAUCCACCCCUUCCAAGACAAGAAAUAUUUGGAGGAAUACCACCUUGAAUGGUUCAGCGGUUGCUUCCACAUGUAGAGAGAAGUCUGGCAAGAGUAUAUUAACCUGACCGAUGAGAUACAAUUUUUCAAUCUCAACAGUAAUAUUGCCUUAUGCAGCCAUAAUAUGGUAGUAUUUUCUCAUCUUUUGAACAAGAUCUAAUGCUAAAAAAUCUAGUUAUAUAGUCCCUAACAGUUUUUAAACUGUUCCAAAUCUUUAGGAUUAAAACACCUAACUCGUGCGUAUGUGUUCACUUCUAUUGCAUACUAUCGGGUCCCUACGAAGUCCCAAAAUGGAAAAUCUGACAUUCUAAUUUCAGUCUUCAAGUUACAAUCUGCAAUAAAAAAGCACUUAGUAUUUCUCCAGCUCUCAACAAUUCCUUCUAUCAAAUUUGAUACGCUGGGUUUAACAUACGCUUUCUUACGCUUCAUUUCUCUUCGAUUUAUAAAGAGCCCUUAUUUUUUAAAAUCUGCGUGGGUUAUAAACUAUUAAACUCACUUCUCGUGAAAUACUUUCUUACAUGACUUUUACCCUCAAUUUCUCGUUUAUUAAGAUUAGUUUGGGGAUCAAUAUCGAUUUUAAAAUACGAAAAACACCUUUCUUUUUAACACGGAGAGAAGCCUCAUCCGAGGCAAGAUGGUAGUAGUCUAACCUCAUGGAUGAGCCACUUGGGUUCACCCUUAAGGACAAGAAAGAGGGGUCAAAAAGCUCGCACUCUUCCCCAUCCUAACAUUUUUUAAAAUCCCUCACCUCAAAGACACUACCCAAGCUCAGAAGGUAAGUGCUGGGUCGGGAGGGGAAUGGAACAAGGUUUUUGGAUUUUUUUUUUUUUUUUGUAGAAAAUGAGCUGCUAGAAGGAAAAGGCCCAAGUGAAAGCCUCAGAGGCGGAGUCGUGAGCGAACCUGGCAGGAGACGAGGUUCCUGUGGCAGAGAAACUCGUGACCGGGGAGCUGGGUUCCCGCUGGGUACCCCACCCGGCCUCAGGCAC
rnacentral:lncRNA from 1 species